rfam:Apaloderma vittatum contig27437, whole genome shotgun sequence.
GGCCGGUUAGCUCAGUGGUUUGAGCGUGGUGCUGACAAUGACAACACCAAGGUCGCGGGUUUGAUUCCCGCUCGGUCC